GAUGAACGCUAGCGGCAGGCUUAAUACAUGCAAGUCGUGGGGCAGCAGGACUGUAGCAAUACAGUUGCUGGCGACCGGCAAACGGGUGCGGAACACGUACGCAACUUACCCUGAACUGGGGAAUACCCGGGGAAACCCCGAUUAAUAACCCGGAAUAUAAUUGAGUGGCAUUACUUUAUUUUUUAAGCUUCCGCGGUUCGGGAUGGGCGUGCGGCUGAUUAGGUAGUUGGUUGAGGUAACGGCUCACCAAGCCUACGAUCAGUAACUGGUGUGAGAGCACGACCAGUCACACGGGCACUGAGACACGGGCCCGACUCCUACGGGAGGCAGCAGUAAGGAAUAUUGGGCAAUGGAGGCAACUCUGACCCAGCCAUGCCGCGUGGAGGAUGAAGGCCCUCUGGGUUGUAAACUUCUUUUAUAGGGCACGAAACCUGUGUAUUCUUACGCAGUUGACGGUACCCUAGGAAUAAGCACCGGCUAACUCCGUG
rnacentral:rRNA from 1 species